UACGUAGGGUGCAAGCGUUAAUCGGAAUUACUGGGCGUAAAGCGUGCGCAGGCGGUUUUGUAAGUUUGUCGUGAAAUCCCCGGGCUCAACCUGGGAAUUGCGAUGAAGACUGCAAGGCUAGAAUCUGGCAGAGGGGGGUAGAAUUCCACGUGUAGCAGUGAAAUGCGUAGAGAUGUGGAGGAACACCGAUGGCGAAGGCAGCCCCCUGGGUCAAGAUUGACGCUCAUGCACGAAAGCGUGGGGAGCAAACAGGG
rnacentral:rRNA from 1 species